GCAGAAAAAAAAGAGGCGAAGUUGGAGGUUAGCGCUGAUGUUACACGGUUCGGCUGCAAGUGAAGGCUCACCGUGUACUCGGAAUAAAUGACAAAUAACUGACUUUCGUCUGCUGACUGCCACAAACCACAGACAUUCAGUCCAGACUUCGGCCACGCUGCACAUUCUCCCAGAUGACCUGCAUUUGGAAAUGUCUGACGGAGAAGGGGAAAAGGCUGACGCUGGGCAGAAAGAGAAGAAUCAGGAAAAAACAGAUGAGGGUGAAUAACAGGAUCGCUAGGUGAACAAAGAAGCAUCAGUGAAAAGAUCUGAAGGAGCCAGAAGCACAACAGCACUGCUGGAGUGCUGAUGAAUUCACAGAAGAGCACGACUCACGUCAGAACUGAACAUUUGCAAAAGCCCUUCGACUCACUGCAGAGAGGCUCUGGACGUAGCGGACGGCGUCUCCGAUGGUGAAGAAUAUUACGUUGUUUUCGCCGGUCUCGCCUUCUUUGUUGGGUUCAUAGCCGCCUUUUUCCAGAGUGUCCAGCACCGUGGUAUUACAAUGAGCCAGAACAACCCUGACCCCAAGUUCUCCGUAAUCUUUUCUGACCUCUUUGAGAGCAUUUAACCCAGCGGUAUCUAGGAACAGGACAGCGCUGCAGUCCAUGACGAUGCUGCGUACGCUACGAGGAGCUUCGUUGAGCAUCAAGGGUCGAGCCCCACACACUUGUAGAGAGACUUUUUGAACAAGCUCUGAUUGGCGUAGUAAAUUGGAGCCUCGUACCUGAAGACGGCCACUUCAGGAAGCGUCUCAAGGCCUCGGUAAGAAGACAGGUCCUCGUAGUGCUCCCUGCUUGCAGCUCGGCCCAGCUCCACCACCUGGGCUUGCUGGGUUCGGCCCAAGACGCAGAAGGCUGACACCAAAACCCCAACAAGGAGGCCCAGCUCCGUGUUGACCAGCGCUGAGGUUGCCAUGGUGAUCAGCCAGAUGGAGGUAUCCACGCGAUUGACACGCCACAUGUUGGGAACGUCAGUGAACUUUCGUAGAGCACCACGGAGGUUGACCACGAUGAUGGCAGCCAGCACACACCUGGGCAGAAGACAGACAGUGAAAAGGUGUCACUUUAUUUUAUUUAAAAGGACUGCAGCAGGUAAAUAGGAUUUCACAUUUCGAGAAAACUGGCAAAAAGCACUUGUAACUGUGUAAUUAAGACUUGGAUCCUUUUCUACUAAGAAAGUGGCAAAGGUGGAAAAACAAAUGAGGGUCGAGGUUAAUUAAAGAGAUAAGGAACCAAC